rnacentral:rRNA from 1 species
CGGUAAGGAGUGCUGGAGCGGUAUGAAGUGAGCAUGCAGGAAUGAGUAACGAUAAGAUAUAUGAGAAUUGUAUCCGCCGUAAAUCUAAGGUUUCCUACGCGAUGGUCGUCAUCGUAGGGUUAGUCGGGUCCUAAGCCGAGUCCGAAAGGGGUAGGUGAUGGCAAAUUGGUUAAUAUUCCAAUACCGACUUAUGGAGCGUGAUGGGGGGACGCAUAGGGUUAAGCGAGCUAGCUGAUGGAAGCGCUAGUCUAAGGGCGUAGAUUGGAGGGAAGGCAAAUCCACCUCUGUAUUUGAAACCCAAACAGGCUCUUUGAGUCCUUUUAGGACAAAGGGAGAAUCGCUGAUACCGUCGUGCCAAGAAAAGCCUCUAAGCAUAUCCAUAGUCGUCCGUACCGCAAACCGACACAGGUAGAUGAGAUGAGUAUUCUAAGGCGCGUGAAAGAACUCUGGUUAAGGAACUCUGCAAACUAGCACCGUAAGUUCGCGAUAAGGUGUGCCACAGCGAUGUGGUCUCAGCAAAGAGUCCCUCCCGACUGUUUACCAAAAACACAGCACUUUGCCAACUCGUAAGAGGAAGUAUAAGGUGUGACGCCUGCCCGGUGCUCGAAGGUUAAGAGGAUGCGUCAGUCGCAAGAUGAAGCGUUGAAUUGAAGCCCGAGUAAACGGCGGCCGUAACUAUAACGGUCCUAAGGUAGCGAAAUUCCUUGUCGGUUAAAUACCGACCUGCAUGAAUGGCGUAACGAGAUGGGAGCUGUCUCAACCAGAGAUUCAGUGAAAUUGUAGUGGAGGUGAAAAUUCCUCCUACCCGCGGCAAGACGGAAAGACCCCGUGGACCUUUACUACAACUUAGCACUGCUAAUGGGAAUAUCAUGCGCAGGAUAGGUGGGAGGCUUUGAAGUAAGGGCUUUGGCUCUUAUGGAGCCAUCCUUGAGAUACCACCCUUGAUGUUUCUGUUAGCUAACUGGCCUGUGUUAUCCACAGGCAGGACAAUGCUUGGUGGGUAGUUUGACUGGGGCGGUCGCCUCCUAAAAAGUAACGGAGGCUUGCAAAGGUUGGCUCAUUGCGGUUGGAAAUCGCAAGUUGAGUGUAAUGGCACAAGCCAGCCUGACUGUAAGACAUACAAGUCAAGCAGAGACGAAAGUCGGUCAUAGUGAUCCGGUGGUUCUGUGUGGAAGGGCCAUCGCUCAAAGGAUAAAAGGUACCCCGGGGAUAACAGGCUGAUCUCCCCCAAGAGCUCACAUCGACGGGGAGGUUUGGCACCUCGAUGUCGGCUCAUCGCAUCCUGGGGCUGGAGCAGGUCCCAAGGGUAUGGCUGUUCGCCAUUUAAAGCGGUACGCGAGCUGGGUUCAGAACGUCGUGAGACAGUUCGGUCCCUAUCUGCCGCGGGCGUAGGAAAGUUGAGGAGAGCUGUCCCUAGUACGAGAGGACCGGGAUGGACGUGUCACUGGUGCACCAGUUGUUCUGCCAAGAGCAUCGCUGGGUAGCUACACACGGAUGUGAUAACUGCUGAAAGCAUCUAAGCAGGAAGCCAACUCCAAGAUGAACUUUCCCUGAAGCUCGCACAAAGACUAUGUGCUUGAUAGGGUAGAUGUGUAAGCGCAGUAAUGCGUUUAGCUGACUACUACUAAUAGAGCGUUUGGCUUGUUUUU